rnacentral:rRNA from 1 species
GGGAUGGCCUUCCUCUCGACGCUCCGUUCGCGGAGUGCACGGGGGGCAACAGGCGCCUGAAGAAACAAAAACGACUCUCGGCAACGGAUAUCUCGGCUCUCGCAUCGAUGAAGAACGUAGCGAACUGCGAUACUUGGUGUGAAUUGCAGAAUCCCGUGAACCAUC